UAUCCCAUUCUGAUUUUGAAAAAUUGCAGUGGUAUGUGCUUAACAAUUGUGAGGAUGUUGAUGAAUAUCUUAAGAUUCACAUUGAAGAAUUACAAAAGGAAAGUGUUAUAGAUGUGCAAAAAAGACACCAGGCAGGAUUUGCCAGUUGGUUCAAGGAGUGUGUUGGACGCUUACGUGCUAUUGGUUUGGUUGCAGCAACAGAUCAUAUAUAUGCGUUGGGAUUAGGUCCUGAUAUACGAAUUGCUAGGUACAGUGGGAUAAUUGUCAAUGGAGUUAGGUUUCACACAGUUGAGCGUGAUAAUUUUCGUCGGACUCAAAAUAAUGGAGUUUCAGUAACGGGAGAGCAUAAGUCGAAAGAAAUCGAGUUUUAUGGUGUGCUAACAGAUAUCAUUGACCUCCAAUAUGUUAAUGGGAAUCAUGUUUUCUUGUUUAAA